ACUUAAAUAGCUCAAAUAGAGCAUUACUUUGAAGCAGUGAAGGUGUUAGACUUUAAGUA
rnacentral:tRNA from 1 species